ACUACAGUCAUUAGUUAAAUUUAAUAACAAAUUCCCAGUUUUCUUCUCCCAUUUUCCGACAGUGUAGUCCUGCCUGUGUAUAGGCCAGCACCAAAUGAUGCCCACGGGCGAAUGUAUUCGCACUUAACCGCAUAAAAUAUAUUGACGUAUCCUGGCUGGCGAACAUGCGCUACAAGGAAAUAUAACCUCUUAGACUUUUACGAUUCAGCCUGGAGAUGCGUUGUGUGUAGUAUAGGUAGGUAGGGCUUGGCAAUGGAAGGUGGAAAUGGAAAUGGAAUGGAUGAAGGGCGCUGCGAGUGGGAGGCAGCUUCAAAUCAGUCAUAAAUUCAUAAACAGCCCAAGCCCAGGCCCAAGGUGCCCGAGACACGGGGUAGCACUUCCUGUAAUCGAAUUGCCUCGCAAAUGUUGUGGCAAGUUCGCGUAUGUGGAGCCCAAUCCGAUAUCUGGGCAGCGCAUAAACCUGAGCCCGAGGACGACGACGACUACGAGUGGGAAUACGCCCGGAACAUAAUGCCCCGGACAAGAGAGUGCAUAUUAAAUAUGUUUUUUGUUGCCCUUUUUUUGUUGUUGGUGCCGUUGGGUUAACUAAAAUAAACAUUCUUUUUUUUCGGCUGCUGCGCCGUGGGAAUCGAA